GGCAUUAUGGUGUAACGGUUAUCACGUCUGCUUUACACGCAGAAGGUCCCAAGUUCGAGCCUGGGUAGUGUCA
rnacentral:tRNA from 1 species